rnacentral:rRNA from 1 species
GUCUUCCCGUUUUGUUUUGUGAAGUCUAGCCUGCCCAGUGAUGUAUUUAACGGCCGCGGUAUACUGACCGUGCAAAGGUAGCAUAAUCAUUAGUCUUUUAAUAGAGGGCUGGAAUGAAAGGUUUGACGAGGAAUUAACUGUCUCAUUUUGAUUAAUUAUAAUUUAACUUUUGAGUUAAAAGGCUUAAAUUUUGUUGGAAGACGAGAAGACCCUAUAGAGCUUUAUUUUUAUUUUUUUAAUUUAGAUUUGUUUUAUGAUUUUUUAUUAUUAUUAUAAUUAUUUUGUUGGGGUGACAAUAAAUAUAGGUUUAACUUUUAUAUUAUUUAUACAUUGAUUUAUGUUUCGUGGAUCCUUUAUUAUAGAUCAUUAGAAUAAGUUACCUUAGGGAUAACAGCGUAAUCUUCUUUCAGAGUUCAAAUUUACAAGAAGGCUUGCGACCUCGAUGUUGGAUUAAGAUUAUAAUUAGGUGUAGUAGCUUAAUUUAUAGGUCUGUUCGACCUUUAAAAUCUUACAUGAUCUGAGUUCAGACCGG